CUGUUUCUCUAACUGCGACACUCGCCCGCCUCCAUCUCCAGUCGCCCAUGCACACAACCAGUCGACAAUUCAUCCAAGCAAGUGAUUCCAUAAAUUUCAAAUCUAGGAUGAGGCAUAUAAUAAUGCUCAGUAUUCAGGCAUAUGAAACUGCAUCUUACGCAUGUGAGCCAUUCAAAGCUGAUACAAGGUGAGCCACGCAAAACUGGAAUGUCUCUUUCGUUUGCUGAUACAUUCACUAAACUGGUGAUAAGCUUUCCUCAUACAAGUGGUAAUGUAAGAGGCAUCCAUUUGACUGAGCCAUGUUGGUAUCCUGGUACAUUGAGUUUGAUACCUUCACUCCUGCAGCCAAGAGAGGGCUGCCAGUCGCAAGGAUUAUGAGACACAUGCUCCCGCAGGCGAUUCUUGCUUGUGCGAUUGACGAUGAAUCGAUAAUACUAUAAUGAGCAAUCACCAUGUAGUCGAUUUUACAGACGAUGGCAACAAGGUGAAUGAACAGGUUACUGCCAUACUGGAGGAUGGGCGGAAAUUUUUAAGGUGAUCUUUUGGUUGGUGCAGAUGGCAAGGUGAGGAAGUUGCUUUUUGAGCAAGCACAAGUAUCUUAUUCAGAAUAUAUUUGCUACACUGGAAUUGCAUAGUUUGUGCCUCCUGAUAUUGACACAGUAGGGUACCAUGUGUUCCUUGAUCACAAACAAUAUUUCGUCCCC